CGCUAAGCCUGCCUGAUGCCUGCUGCUUGGACACAAACGUCCUCUUGCUCCUGUCAUCUCUAAGCAAGCACAGACAGGAGGGAAAAAGCCUGACAGUUUGUCUUGUGCCAUAUGCCACGUGGCAGCAAAGCCCAACUGAUAUGGUCAGAGUUCUGGCCACGGCCAAGGGCUCUUUAAAAAUUUUUAUUUUGUUCUUUCUUGCAUGUGCUUGAAUCUUGGGCAAAAAUGUGAAAUAAAAAAACAUCACUGUAUGGCCGUAACAAGGUUGGAUUUCGUGGCAAAUAGUUUCAAAAACUGAUUUUUUUUUUUAGCACUAUUCCAAUAAUACCACUGCAAGAGCCUCUUCCUUGCGCGUGUGAGAGCUGCCUUGCAGAGGAAACUCCGCAAGAAGAAAAAUAAGAUAUCUUAUUGUCAUUAUCCCCUCCUUCCUUUCCUUGCCUGGAGAGAUGUUAGUCUUCAGCCUCUCAAUCAAGAAGUAACCUAUGAGGUUUUUCUACACACAGCAAUGGGACUGGAAUUUGAGCAACACUGUCAGUGUGUGGUAUGCUUGGUGAAGGCAAAUUUGUUACUGGUGGUGUUUUUGACCUUUGGGGUAGCCUCGCGUCAAUCAUUAUCCUCAGAGCAGAAAGGCAGGUCAGAAACCCUCCAGCUACCUACGAAGUUACAGAAAGUAAGGCUCCUGCUCACAGCCAGAAGGGGUAUAAGAAAUGCAUGUGUGAAAGUAUUAGGGAGAUUAAGUAUUUAUUAGAUUUUAAGUAUAGAUUUUUUUUUUUUUUAACAUUAAACAUUACUAAACUUUUUUUCUUUUCAAACAACAAACAAGAUAUAAACUAAAUCAGGGAAAUAUUGCCGCCAUAAUAUGUUUUCCAACAAAAGGCCUUCACUAUCUUCUUUUUUAUUUUGUACUUAUUUUGAAAGAACAAACACCAAAGACGUGCAGCAAGAAUGAUUACUCUUGUCAGGAAAAAAUUUGUUGUUUUUCCAGAUGUUUUAUUCAGUAGUGUUUCUUUUUUCUAUUUUUUAAAAUUAAUUUUUUGUUUGUUUUGUGAAUGACUGAGCUUGUGCUUCUACUAAUGUACCAACAUAUGUCUGUUUAACUUUAAUAGUGUCAGGGUAAGUUCAGUUCAGGACUGAAAUGUAAACUGUUUGCUCUUUACCUCAUCAUUCUCUCCUACUACAUGUAACCAUUCCAAUAUACAUAUAUAUCUUCAAGAAUGUCAAAUCUUUAACUUGUCAAUUUUCCAGGCUCCAGUGCUUCCGCGGAGAAAUAUGCUGUAGUGUGAAGUGGCUGUCAGUCACCACCUCCGUGAUGUGUCACUCUUUGAAGCAGCAAAGCCUAGAACUGGGACAAAGUGGUCACCAUUUUCGCUCCGAUGGUUCCUUUUCCGCCUUCGUUGGGGCUGUUGCAAGAAGGUGGAAACCAGGAGUUGAUGAAAGAAAUGACAGGUGAGUGACAGACGCCUUGAGAAACAAGGAGGGGAGCAGUGGGUGAGGAUAGCGGUGUGCUAGCCAGCGAGGAAUAGUGCCACAGGUGAAAAGGUGCCAGAGCAGUAAGACUGACGCACCUUGAUGGCGCUGGCAGGCAGAGGUGACACAGGUGAGGGGCACCUUUGGGGAAGCUUGCAGGCUCCUCACAGCUGCUUCUCUUUGCCCCUGUCAGACAGAUGCACAGAGAAGCACCCUUACACCGGGGACAACGCAAUCAUGUGUGUUCAUUUGCGCAAAUAUGCUCACACUCAGAGUGUCAUAAUGCCAAGA
ensembl:lncRNA